AUUCCAUUACAACCUUCAUAUUCUUCCACUCCACCUUACACACCUUAUAUUCCACCCUUGACACUCUUCCAGUCCACUACAUGUCCUUCCGUUUCUCUCUUCACAUCUUCCAUUUCACCCUAAGCAACCUCCCAUUUCACCCUUCACCCCUUCACCCAUUUCACCCUUCACCCCUUCACCCAUUUCACCCUUCACCAUUUCACCCAUUUCACCCUUAGUUCCACCCUUCACACCCCUCCAUGACGUCCUUCAAGCUCUUCCAUGCCACCCUUAACAUCCUCACAUUCCACUUUUCACUCUCUGGUCCUUCCAUGUCCUUCCAUUGUGCCUUUUGCAACCUUCCAUUCCAUUCUUCACAUUCUUUCACUCCACCUAAACCAUCUUCCAUUCCACCCUCCACACCUUUCAGUUUCACCCUUCAUAUACUUCCACCCAGCUUGGCGCAGUGGCUCAUGCCAGUAAUCCCAGCACUUUGGGAGGCCGAGGCAGGUGGAUCACUUGAGGUCAGGAAGUUCGAGACCAGCCUGGCCAAUGCGGUGAAACCCUGUCUCUACUACAAAUACAAAAAAUUAGCUGGGCGUGAUGGUGUGGGCCUGUAAUCCCAGCCACUCAGAGCCUGAGGCAGGAGAAUCGCUUGAACCUGGGAGGCAGAGGUUGCAGUGAGCCAAGACCACUCCACUGCACUCCAGCCUGGACAACAGAGCAAGACUCUGUCUCAAAAGAAAAAAGGAACUGCACCAUUUUACAUUCUCAACAUCACGGAUGAGGGUUCCAUCUUCUCCUUAUCCAGCCAACUGGAAGCCCUUUUAGCUGAGGUGGUUAAGCUGUGAGAACCAGAGUUUGCUGCUGCCAUUAUUCACUGCAUCAUUCAUUCGGCAAAAACCUGAGUACCUACCACUACCUAGUAGGCUCUGACCAUGCAAGAAGUCCCUGGCAACGCUGUAGGAUGGAGAGGAACAGUACCCUGGUUACAGUGUUUCAGCACCCUGGUCUUGGUUCACCCUGGGCCUUUCACUUGCAGGAGGCAGGGAGUUCUCUGAUGGCAGUUUGAGUUGGAUUUGCUGCAACUAACAAAGCCGGCCAGUGGACCCCUCCAAUCUACUGGGACUCAAAUAAAUCCAAGUGAUUGUUCUCCCUCCAUUCCAGGAGGGAACACCAGCCAGCCUUGGAACCUCAGGUGCAACAGAGACGCCAGGAGAUGCUAGUGCCCAGCAGCCUGUGGCAGUACCAAUGAAGCCAGAGAGGGCUUGAUGGAUGACAAGGAGGCCUGAGUAGACCCCAGACUUUGUUGUCGCUGCCCGGAGGAGUCGAGACUCGUACCCGGAGGAGCUGUCUCACCAGGAGACCACGCCCUGGAAGUGUCCGGGAUUCGCGGGACCUGUGGCUGCAGACCCCACCGGUUCGCAGGCCCAGAGCUGGCGCACUCCUCAGGAUGAGAUUCUGGAGGCCCUAGCCGGGGUCCACGGGAGGGCUGUCCUUGGGGACUCUAGGAUGGCUUCGUUCUGGCCCGGCGCACUUCUGGAGCUGUGAGACCCAAGACAAAAGGGGCUGAGGGAUUUCUCAUUGACAAGAGUUCGUGCGGGAAAACCACCUGACCCCUAGGGGUUUGUCAUCUUAGACUCAAAAGGCUUAAUACUAGAAACCACCUUGGCAAGAUAUUUACCCACCGGCCAUCUCUGUUUAUUCAUGAAUGUUAAAUGUCAAAACGCAGCGCUCUAACCCUGCAUAUUCUUUACUUGGAAAUGUCUGUAAUCUGUAAUUGUGAUGCCUCUGAUGGAAUAAAUUAUCUCUUUCAGUCUCCUCU
rnacentral:sRNA from 1 species